GGGGUGUAGCUUAGUGGUGGAGCGUGUGCUUAGCAUGUGCAGGGCCUUGGGUUCAACCCCCAACACACACA
rnacentral:tRNA from 1 species